rnacentral:rRNA from 2 species
UGGAGAAUCUUGCACAAUGGGCGAAAGCCUGAUGCAGCAACGCCGCGUGAAGGAUGAAGGCCCUUGGGUCGUAAACUUCUGUUCUAAGGGAAGAUAAUGACGGUACCUUAGGAGCAAGUCCCGGCUAACUACGUGCCAGCAGCCGCGGUAAUACGUAGGGGGCAAGCGUUAUCCGGAAUUAUUGGGCGUAAAGAGUACGUAGGUGGUUUCCUAAGCGAGGGGUUUAAGGCAAUGGCUUAACCAUUGUUCGCCCCCCGAACUGGGUAACUUGAGUGCUGGAGGGGAAAGCGGAAUUCCUAGUGUAGCGGUGAAAUGCGUAGAUAUUAGGAGGAACACCAGUGGCGAAGGCGGCUUUCUGGACAGUAACUGACACUGAGGUACGAAAGUGUGGGGAGCAAACAGG